rnacentral:rRNA from 1 species
GAUUUCUCACCUUGUAAAGAACCGUAAAGCCAUUAAUUUGGUGUUACGGGGAAUUAGGACUGUUACCUUGAAAAAAUUAGAGUGUUUAAAGCAGGCUCACGCUUGAAUACAUUAGCAUGGAAUAAUGAAAUAGGACAUCCGAUUCUAUUUUGUUGGUUUCUAGGAUAGAUGUAAUGAUUAAUAGGGAUAGUUGGGGGCAUUAGUAUUCAAUUGUCAGAGGUGAAAUUCUUGGAUUUAUUGAAGACUAACUACUGCGAAAGCAUUUGCCAAGGAUGUUUUCAUUAAUCAAGAACGAAAGUUAGGGGAUCGAAGACGAUCAUUUACCGUCGUAGUGUUAACCAUAAAAUAGCCGACUAGGGAUAAAGCCGAUG